rnacentral:lncRNA from 9 species
UGGGAGAUUACUGUGGUCCCCUGUGUCCCUGUGUCCCCGUGCGUGCACCUGGGCACCGCUGUGUGUGUGUGCGCACGUUCCUGUGCGUAUACACCCGUGUGUCCAGGUAGGCCCGGUGUGCACGCCUGGGUGUGUGUGCACGCGUGGGCCUCACUGUGCACGCACCCACCGCAAACCUCGGCCAAGGAGAAAAGCUCCCAGGACCCCUGCCCCUGCCGGGUGAGGAGGAUCAGAAACCAGGACCCUGAGGCCUCAGACCUCCCCUACUCAAAGUUCAGGGGCCCGGAGCCGCCAGGGAGGCUGGGGAGGGAGGGCCUGAGGAGGCCGCGCUGGCAGCUAAAUUUGUUCAUCCGGCCUGUCAGUCCCUUAAUCUGGCCCCUGAGGAACAACGCAGAGGCUUCACUCGAGAUGACAAACGAGGAGGGGAGAGGCCUGCCCUGCCUGGACUCCGGCCCCAGCCAUGACCAUGUAAGCAAGGUGACACCCGGAGGGAGUCCCCACACCCCCUUUUCAUCCUCAGACGGGCUUGUGGCCAGACCUGGGAAUCCUGGCUCAACUUGCGCCAUCAUCUGCUGCUCUGCCCUCCGGUCCCACUCAGUGCUCGUGGUGCUGUCGGCUCCUACACUUUGCUGGCUCCAGGAUUUCCCAGGCUCCAGCAUCCAUCCCCCUUGCUGCCUUCUAGGAGCCUCUUCAUGCAAGGAAAUAGCAUCCCAUGAACUCUGAACAUCUGCAAAAUGCCGACCUAGAGCGAUGUCUGAAUGUGGGCGUGAGCGAGAAGCGCCUGCAGACCAGGCCCCGCCCCGGCGUGGAAAGGGAGCCGAUGGAUGGGGAGCAGCCGACAGGGGAGAGGGGGACCUCAGGACGGCGAUGGACAGAUUGAAGUCGACGUGCCAGGAGGCAGGGAAUUCAGUCCCGCAGCAGGAAGAGGGGCCGGUACUGAUCACACAUGCCUUCACUGGUUCAGCAAAUACAGUGUGGCACACCCUGUGGUAGGCGCUGGGGACAUCCCAGGGGCGAGACUGAAAGCCCUCCUCCCCAGCCGCAGACAGACACCAAAGGGCAGAGCUCACAGCCGCAGUCUCUCUCCCAGCUUACUGGGGAAUCGCAACUCCUCAGGGUGCUGAGUUGAAAUAAGGUAGGUGUUCCAGGCACAGCCCUCGGAGGCCCGUUUCCCACUGGAAGGGGCAGCUCACUUCCCAACAUCCGGCCAGAUUCCCAGCCUUCUCCACCCCCCCAGGGCAGAGCCUUCUCCUUCUGGACUUUGUCCCCUGAGACUCCACGUUCCUGCUUGAUAGAAUCUCUUCUCCCCUCCCCGAGCUUGGGCUGAGCUUCAGAAGCUUGAAUGGGGUUGGGAGUGCGAGUGAGGGCGGUUCUGCAGUGCUGGGGGAGGUGGAAGCAAAGGGGCCCUUGCUCCUGAUUCAUCCGGGCCGGGGAACCCUGGACCAGAGUCCAGACCCUAAGGUGGCUACACCUCCUUUUCACUGAGAAGGAGAAAUGCCAGAGGGCCAACCUGCGGGGUCGGGAGAGUCCCUCAGGCUGGUUCCCUGGACACAGGGGCUUCCCUGGCUCAGGAAGUCCUCAAAUUUGGUUUAAUGCCACAGUCUUAAGUUUUGUUUUAUUUUAUUUUAUUAUUUUUGGCUGCCGUGUGAUGUGGGAUCUCAGUUCCCAGACCAGGGAUUGAACCUGGGAUGCAGCAGUGAAAGCCCUGGAUCCUAACCACUAGACCACCAGGAAACUCCCUUGCAAUUUUUUUUUUUUUUUUUUUUUUUGGUUUCCCCUGUGGUUUGUGGAAGUUCUUGGGCCAGGGCUGGCAUCUGUGCCACAGCAGCGAAAACACCCAAUCCUUAACCACCAGGCCACCAGGCAACUCUGAAUUUCUUAAUAACUAUUGAACAAGGGGCCCUUCUUUUUCAAUUUGCCCUGAAACCCUGGCAUAUUACGUAGUCGGUCCUGUCCGUGAGGCACGUAUUACAGCAAUGUACAGCUGGCAGUGUCAUAUUGUGCUGCACUUUGUCCCCAAAGCCUGGAGCCACCAGUCUCUUUCACACUCAGGGCCAACCCUCAGGCCUGUGGACGUAUGUGAGAAGGCCCCCUGUAAAUGCUCAGGGACCAGGAACCUCGGCGGGGGGGAGAGGACGGGCCC